ACCACACUGCAAACAACACGUUCUGAUAUAGCCACAUAGAUUCGAGAUAUAAUUAUGAGAGAUGAAAAAAAGAACGUUGAAAAGUUUACUUUUAUUUCACAAGUGCGCAGCACACCAGGUUCUAAAAUCCCAUACCAAUCGCGAACCAAUGCCGAAUAAGCUCUUUCCUUCCGAAGAAGCAGCAUCCACCAGACUUUGAAAGCCCGGCAAUGAUCGUCUAGCAUACCGCAAGCAUUUGGAUACCGGUGAUCAUCACUGACCGAAUCUCUCUGCUCUCGUCAAACUUGGAGCAUAUUCUCGCACAUUCAUUCUUUCCUCAUAAACAACAUGGAAUGGACGAUACGACUUGUUGCCUUCUAUCAUCACUUACAAACAUCCAAUGUGCGCUGACAAUUACCUACUUAGGAAAUAAAACAGUCAUUACCAACAACCAUGUUUGCUUUCUCCGUAUUCUUCUCUUUGUGCAACUGUCUGUUGGCACAGCUUUCCUAAUUUCCACAUUAACACUUGGUUGUUAUUGCACCAUAAA